rnacentral:rRNA from 1 species
UGGGGAAUUUUGGACAAUGGGGGAAACCCUGAUCCAGCCAUCCCGCGUGUGCGAUGAAGGCCUUCGGGUUGUAAAGCACUUUUGGCAGGAAAGAAACGUCGCGGGUUAAUACCCCGCGAAACUGACGGUACCUGCAGAAUAAGCACCGGCUAACUACGUGUCAGCAGCCGCGGUAAUACGUAGGGUGCAAGCGUUAAUCGGAAUUACUGGGCGUAAAGCGUGCGCAGGCGGUUCGGAAAGAAAGAUGUGAAAUCCCAGAGCUUAACUUUGGAACUGCAUUUUUAACUACCGGGCUAGAGUGUGUCAGAGGGAGGUGGAAUUCCGCGUGUAGCAGUGAAAUGCGUAGAUAUGCGGAGGAACACCGAUGGCGAAGGCAGCCUCCUGGGAUAACACUGACGCUCAUGCACGAAAGCGUGGGGAGCAAACAGGAUUAGAUACCCUGGUAGUCCACGCCCUAAACGAUGUCAACUAGCUGUUGGGGCCUUCGGGCCUUGGUAGCGCAGCUAACGCGUGAAGUUGACCACCUGGGGAGUACGGUCGCAAGAUUAAAACUUAAAUGAAUUG